GGGGUUGACUGGAUUUGACAGCGGGCAGAAAUGGUAAGUAAGCAUGCAGUGCGUCGUUGAUUUGCACUUAAAUCUCAGUCUUCAAAAUUUUAUCUGGCGAAAGACAAUUUGCUCUUGCUGCUUAAUCGAAGUAUAGUAGAUUAGCUUAAUCCCGAUACAAGGUGUCGGGACGGGACAUCACUCGGAAGCUGUUGCUCCGAAGCAUUCCGGUCAAGUGGUGCAGUCAAAUCGGGGAUAGUUCGUGUCGGCCUCGCGGCAUGGAUGAAACUUUAGAGGAUAAGGCAACGGUUGAUGGCUUUGGUUCUGCCGUUGCACGAAAACUUAGGCAAAGAUAAGCAUGUAGAAAGCUUAUGAUUUCCUCGUUUGGACGAGGGUUCGAUUCCCUCCAGCUCCACUC
rfam:Bacteroides clarus YIT 12056 genomic scaffold Scfld5, whole genome shotgun sequence.